ACCAGGUGAGGGGAGUUCCUUACUAAGACCCAGACAACCAGGUGAGGGGAAUUCUUUACUAAGACCUACCAGGUGAGGGGGUGUUCCUUACUAAGACCUAGACAACAAGGUGAGGGGGAUCUUUACUAAGACCUAGACAACCAGGUGAGGGGAGUUAUUACUAAGACGCAGACAACCAGGUGAGGGGAGUUAUUACUAAGACCCCAGACAACCAGGUGAGGGGAGUUAUUUACUAAAACCCAGACAACCCAGGUGAGGGGAGUUCCUACUAAGACCUAGACAACCAGGUGAGGGGAGUUCCUUACCUAGACCUACCAGGUGAGGGGAGUUCUUACUAAAGUAGACCUUAAUUCAUCGAGUACAAGCCCCCCAGGAUCGACUUUGUGAAACCCUGCGCUAGAGUCCAAUGUCACCUCUAUUAGCAAUGACUAACCAACCAGCUGACGCUUUGUCCUACUUCUGAGGAGAAUGAGUCACCUGUGCUCCCAAACAGACCACUAGAUGGCAGUAAAUGUCCCUAUUAUUCCAUACCUUUGCUUUAUUGUUUGCACUGUAGGGUACUAAGGGGUAACUGCCCCCCCCCCACCCCCUGUAAUUCCACAAGAUGUCACCAUUAUUUCCCCACCCACUUCCCUUGCUGCCACUGCUCUUGCUCAACAAAAAUGUUCCUCAAUGACAUCACAACCUUUGGAGAUAUUUCAACAAAACUAUUUUGUGUCACAGAUGGGGACUGGAUUAGGUGUGAGCAGUGCAGGAGGUGGCCUCGUGAAUUGUGCUCCAAUUUUACUGGGGAUCGCUUCAUUUGUGACCUAUGUGCAAAUUAGAAUCGUGCAAUAGCAGAGCAUAAGAAAGUGGCCACAUCAAUGUUACGCUGAAUUAAUUAGUUAAGUUAUUGUUAUUUGAUGUUCUUAUUUAUAAUCCAUUUCACUAUUAUAUUCUAAGUAAUAUUUUUGGUUUAUUAUUAAAAACAACUAUUGAUCGUCUUUUGCUCCUGCGUGUCAUUUUUAAAGACUGCUGGGAUUACCCUGGUACUUAAAAAAAACGCACCUUUUCUAAAAACAAUAUUUCAUUAAAUAACAACAACAAAAAGAUUUCCUUUUAUAGUUUAUUCGCCUAAGCGUGACCUUUAUCCACGACCAAUUCUCUUUCCAAAUGUUCCUUUUUUGUGUCGGCAAAUAGACAUUGUUCUUAAGGGGGCUAGUUACCUCCUUGCCUGGUUUAACUAUCACGUUCACUAGUCCAGCCUCUAGUUAGAUAGGCCUAUGAUAUGAAUGGCUGCAAAGAUUGCGUGGAUAAAUUAAAAUUUGGAUAGGUUUAUUAGAGUGAAUUUUACAUAUGAUUGAAAAUAUGUUAGUUAAUGUUUCUCCAUGGUUCCAUUUAAUGUGUAUUUUGUCAAAUCAAAGGCCCAGUGUACAGCAGCCUACAAAUGAUGUACAACAGUUCAAUCCAUUAGGUUUGUGUUAAAAGAGCGGACUAUUGGAAAACCAGCUUUCCUUCCGCUGCCCUUGAUGUUGAAUAUUUACCCCUCCCCCAUUAUCUGGGGCAAAAGUGAAAGCAACAUACAUGGCAAUAUAAAUUACAAGCCAAGCUAUAUACGCUGCCAUGCACUCCAUCAAACCAUAUCAGACCGUUAAGGGCCAUAUAAGGCGGCGUUUAGACAGCCAGCCCAAUUCUGAUCUUUUUUUAAACUAAUUGGCAUGUUGACUAAAUCAGAUCAGCUCUUGAAAAGACCUGAUGUGAAAAGAUCUGACGUGCUUGGUAAAAUGACCAUUUUGUGGAAAAAUAUCAGAAUUGGGCUGCUUGUGUAAACGCUUUUUGUUGGCUUUGUAAUGUUUCCUCUUCUACAAAGGAACAAGCCCCAGUCUUGAAUAAUCAGUGGACGUUUAUAUUGCUUCAAAUAUAGGGAGUCUACUGAUGAUGCGCAUAAUGCAGUGAUUCUGCUUCCUGAUAUUCUUUAACGAAAGCUUAUGGAGAUAGGCCCAGAACUAGACAAUACAAAGGGAAAAAAGCUGAUAUCUUUCAAAGUUGUAUUGGGGUUCCCGAUUGGAGCGGUCUAAGGCACUGCAUCUCAGUGCAAGAGUGGUCACUACAGUCCCAGGUUCGAUUCCAGGCUGUAUCACAACCGUCCUUGAUUCGGAGUCCCAUAGGGCUGCGCACAAUUGGCCCAGCGUCGUCCGGGGUAGGCCGUCAUUGUAAAUAAGAAUGUGUUUUUAACUGACUUGCCUGGUUAAGUACAUGCUAUUGUCAUCAAUUAUCUAUCUGUUCCGCAAACAUAGUAAGGUGAAGUUAGCACACAUAACCAAACACUAGCGACUACCCUAAAAAUAUUUGCAAAUAAAAGUCCUUGUCUGAGAAAAAAACAAUGAACUAUCAUUGACUUUUAAAUUAUGAUAAACCUGGCCAUUAACAUUUUUGGGUAUGGAGCAAGAAUAUUUUACAUUUAUAUGAUUUGGACUCCUGUAAAAAUUGAGAUAUUGAUAUUUUGUCCUGUUUAUUUGCAUUGAUUUCAUGUUGGGCAUUUAUUGUGAAAGGAACUACGGCCCUACUGCUGCGCCUGUUGGUGCUGAGUUUCCGCUGCAUACAUGUCC
ensembl:lncRNA